UGAUUAGCCUUAUGAACAAGAGGCCCCGCUGUAGAUUCACAGAAGUGAAAAAAGCAAAAAAGGUGGGGGGAGUAGUCAAGAACAUCAACCCUACUUUCACUCGUUGCCAAGACACUGAGGAAUCGCAGAAAUUUCACACGUGUAAAUUUUGUCACGUUUUCUUUUUUAGUGUUUUGUCUAAGAAUAUAUAACCAAACUUGGCUUCACUCAAUCAUCACUACAAAUUUUAACGUGUUGCAUUUUUAGUUUUCUGUUUCGUGUACAUAUAGAUUCACACUAACUUAUUGUUUUCCAGACUACAUUUUAACAAAGGAUCAAUUUAUAUAAUUAGUAUCUGUUCUUUGGAUUCACAUAUAAAAAGGAGAAAAUAUGCAACAUCAUUCAGAGAUAACGACGUCAACGGAUCAACCACUUUGCCCGAAGCCACGUCGUGUGUGUCCUUCUCUUCCUGAUUUCCUCAAACCUCUCUCAUGUCCCCUACACUCUUCUAACUGCCAACAAAGUUCAGAGGGAAGAAGCGGCGUUCUCAGCAUAAUUGAUAAGCCGAUAGAAGGUGGAACAGUAGAGUCAAUGUGGUACGCAGGGUCUCCACCUAGGCGAACCGGGAAUCCUCUUGUACACGACCGUCAUUUCAUUCACUGCCUCGAUCUUCUCCCCAGUUUCUCAAGCACUAAGGCUUGAUCUUCACAUCUUCUUGGAGGAUAUAUGCAUUCAUAGCUGCACACAAGAAGAAAACGAAAAAAAAAGCUCCUUACAUGCAUCCACAUUUAUUGCCAUAUAUAUCUCGAUAUAUCUCACCGUAAAGAACAUUAACCUCAUCAAGUAGAGGGUUUGCAUACAGAUAUGCAUCUGCUACUCAAGAAGUUUGGAGUUUGUUCUUUGUAGAAUUGUAUUUUGGAUUGGUAUUCUUGAUCACCAAAAGUCCACACUGAAGUCAGCACAACACUGCUUACAAAACCAGCACCCACUUAUAUAGUACACGAUGAGCGCAUAGACCAUUAUCUCUUUUUAUUAGGUCUGGAUGUUUUUAAUUUUUAUUAUAGACCAUUAUCUCUUUUGAGUUUGUUAUGCCUUGUAUUGGAGACAUUCCUA